CAAAGGAAGGAAAGACAAACAACUCUCAUUGGUCGUUUAAAAUGCUGAUCGUGGCGCCCCGUCCGGCAGUAGACGGAACUAAUUGUGUGAAAUAGCGCUAUAGUAGAAAAAGAUGGAAUAUGUUUUCGCCAUAACAUAACCUAAAUUCCAAAUUUCCUUUUGUUUUCAGAUUCAGUUGUAUUUUCAGAUGAAUCUAAAGUCAUAAGUCAAGUUUUCGCCAAUGUUUUCUAGUAUUUUCAAAUAAUUUGUUGUGAUUUUAAUGCAUACAUGGGUUUAUAUACUGCAGUGAAUACAUCAAUUUUAUCAACAAGUUUCAUCAGAUAAAAAGACAAACAUCUUUCUUUGAGUUGAGGCACGGAUUAUAUUGUAAUAUUUUGAUUUGAAUAUGAAUUUUGUGCAGCAAUCUUGGAGUUUAGAAGUAGAUAGGAGCUACUAUAUCUUCAUUCCAUUAGAUCCUUUAGGUUUACGUGUAAGGGUUAUGUGAAUCAGAUGGCUUAUGCUGGAGUUCUGCCAAUGAAUCGAAGAAUCCAAUUCAUUAUGUACAGUCUUCAAAUUGGACGUUCUUUUGUUCAAUAAUUUGGUAAUAUAUACAGAAGAAUAUCUUAUUUGACAUAACUGAAUUGUUUCAUUACCUCUUGUUGGAAAAAUCAAUAUGUAUUAUAAUGUGUAAUAAAAAGUAUAUCAUUA